rnacentral:lncRNA from 1 species
UGAUGAAAGACCGACGAAUCCAAUCGAGCAUGCAACUGAUUUAUAGCUCGGGUCCAUGCAUGGUUAGUGCUGAGCCGGAGGGUGGUAGAUGGGCGUGGGGUGUUCUCCUCCAUAGGUGGGCGUGGGAGUGGGUGGGGCGGGGUGGUAGUCCGGCUUGGGCUCUGGCUUGGGCUCCGGUUUGGACGGCACGGGCUUCUUGUGAAAAUGGUCAAUGAUGUGUUUCUUGAAUGACAUGGGGUGCCCUCCUCCAUAGCUAGGCGUUGGUGGGGCGGGGUGGUAGUCUGGCUGGGGCUGCGGCUUGGGCUCUGGCUUGGGCUCCGGAUUGGGCGGCACAGGUUUCUUGUGGAAAUGGUCAAUGAUGUGUUUCUUGAAGGGCAUGAGGUGCUCUCCUCCGUAGGUGGGCGUGGGUGGGGCAGGGUGGUAGUCCGGUUGGGGCUGCGGGUUGGGCUCUGGCCUUGGCUCCGGCUUGGGCGGCACGGGUUUCUUGUGGAAAUGAUCAAUGAUGUGUUUCUUGAAGGGCAUGAGGUGCCCUCCUCCAUAGGUGGGUGUGGGGGCAGAGUGAUAGUCCGGCUGGGGAUGCGGUUUGGGUUCUGAUUUCGGCUCCGGCUUGGGCGGCACGGGCUUCUUGUGAAAAUGGUCAAUGAUGUAUUUCUUGAUGGGCUCGCACAAUGUCGCCGACGCACACUCCGCCGAUGGGUACUGGGUCUUUCCUCCGACAACACCAAAUGUGUCCUCAGAAAGCGGCACGAUCUUAGAUGGCUCCUGCCCGGGGCACGGCGCGUUGUUGGCCGCGCUGUGGAGCUGGGCGAGGCAGUCGGCGCCAUGGAGGUCAGCAGCGAGGGGCACGCUGAACGCGCCGGUGCCAUCGAGAUGGCCCACGGCCUUGCUCUCGUACUCGCCCUUGCUGUUCUUGCACUUGAUGGCCACGUGGAGACCUGAAAUGUGGCAAAGCGUGAGCUACCUAGCUCCAGAUAUAUAUAUCGAUGCGUACCUACAUUGAGCGAUUGUUAACUAGGAGACAGGAGUUACCCUUGAAAGCUUGCUCGGCCUUCAUGUUCUUCCGGGUGCAGUCGGCGCACUUGGCCAGGCCGACGACGACGGACGCUGCAGCCUCGGCGUUUGCAAUCGCCAUGAUCAGGACGGCGCAAACGCCGAGGAGAAAUCCCCUCCGAGGAACUACCAUGUUCGCACGGUGAUGUUGGAGCAAGUGUGAUCGUUGUGGUGAGAAGAUGUGUACGUAUCAGCUCCCGAUGAAUGGAUGAAUUGGAGAGAAGGCCAGCGCGUGGUUUAUAUACGCACCAGCUAGCCUGCUCGGGACCUAUCGAUCGCCAAAAAAUCAAUUUUGCCGCCGAAUUUUCGGAUUGCAAAUUAAUGCCGCACGUCCAAUCGCCCAUUGUAUGUUGAAUUUUCUCUUCGUGGGCCGUUGCAUGCAUGAUUUGAUCAGUCGGUGUUCUUCUCUGUUCCUCUCUCUUACUUGAUGGGCUGGUAGUCACGAUACGUUACGUACCCACAGGGUUCAUUGCUGCACACGCAUGCAUGCACGUACUGUGGACUUUUUUGUUGGUGGUAUGUUCUAUCGACCAGCAAAGUUGCUGACAUGCUGUAAAGUGUGUCCCUUUUGUACGAGUAAUCAACUCGCAGUACUCUGAUAGUACAGUACGAUUACUAUGUUUCAUGGAAAUGGCAGUACUGCGAGAUGAACUGGACGAUUGCUAGCUUGCUCUUCCUUAGCUAUAUUAAUGUGUGCAAAUAUAGCAUGCCUAGAAUUUGUGAUGGGUAAAGGUCAAACAUCUACUACAUCUGUCCUAAAAUACAAGUCAUAUUAUGUCCCUUUCACCGAGGCUUUCAUUAAAUAAAAUGCUCCAUUUGCAUACAACCGGCAAUUCUUUUAUUAUUACAUUGACCUAGCACAGUAUCGAUCCUGCGCACAAAACAUCUUUACACAUGCAUCUUCGGAAUUUUUUGGCUCACAUGGUGAUGUAUUGCUCUAUUAUUUUAAAGAACAUGAAAUCAAAGAUAGGUUUGUAUUAUUUGUAUAAGAUAAUAAACUAGUAUCUAUACCUAUUUAAAAAAUAUGGACCGUUCUCUUCACCGUCUUCUGUCAAACUUCCCAAAAAAUGUGGGCCCCCCAAGAUUGCAUAUAUAUUAGGCAUAGUAAGCCGGCUGGCCCGUUACCUGCACCAAAUUGGAAUGGAAUUCCGUGAGGAAAUCCAUCGCCAGCGGAAUCAUUACGAGAGUCGGGCAACAACUCCGAAUUUGACGAGAAAAAGAUCGCUCCACCGGAACACUAGGGGAGUCGGAAGAUGAGACCUGAUUGGGCACCCAUCGGGCAAGGAAUCGAAACCAUGGUCGUCCCCUUUGUGUCCCAGGCGCGGCCACACGGCUGGUCCCUUCUUCCGUUUCCUAGCCAUGGCCGUCACCUCCUAGGGCUAAAUUACACGAUGAGAUGACGAAUUAUUAGAAAAAACUGAUAAGACAGACUGCGAGAGAGAAUGGUGGCGGCGCCUUGGGCAUAGUAGAGAGAGCAAGAGAUGAUGGCCGAGUGUAGAAUGGGAGAUGGGAGAAGGCACCUCGAUGCAUUUCUUCUUUGAGCUAGACUGAGCGAGAGAGAUGGCCAAACAUGCCAAAUUGAUGGGUCAUCGAGUCAGAGCUACUGGGCCAAUUUUGCACUUGGUCUUUAUUUAUUUUUUACAGCAGGUUUCAUCCGUUAAUUCUUAUUGCAUCAAAGAGUCCACAUAUUAUAUACUAAAAAUAAUAUUUAUUUAAUUAAAAUAUUAACUGGGCGACCCAUUGGGUAUCCAUGGGUAUAAACCUAUACCCAUACCCUACCCAUGACUAAUCGCGCGAGACAUCGGGUAUACCCAUGGGCGUAAACGUCGACCCAUAUCCAACCCACUUGGGUCGGAUAUCCGCGGGCGAGUUGUCACAUUUAAUACUUGCCGGCCAUAUAAGACAGACUCCAGCCGCCACGCCGAGACAUGACUACGAGUAGUCAGAUAGCCGAAAGGCCAACAACGUCAAGUCGUCUGAACUGACCACAAGACAGAUCCGCCAAACAACUCAAUCAAAUAAUUGGAAAAAAUUUACACGUGCACUGCCAGUUUAUUAAUUAGGCUUGAUUUAAUCUAAUAUUGAUAAGAUCCUUCAGAAAACAAGGAAAAUCAAAAUAGGCAUACUCAACAAAAUAAUCAAAUGUCUAUACUCAUAAACGAACAUUGAGCUGUCAAAACAUAAAUUUGUUGCCGCUUCUAACUCUUUGUUUUAACGGCUGAAGUGAGAUAGUGGAGAGAACUAAAAAAAAUUAAGUGAUUCUGUGUCAAAACAUCUUUGACCGGGUGAUGUUAUAUAAUUUUCAGAACGAAGUGUAUUGUUCUAUUUUGAGAGACUAGAGUAUAGAGACACAAUCUUCGGAAGAAACCUUUUUUAAAGGGAUAUUUGGAGAUCGUUAAAGAAGAGCAAAGAGAGGUUUUGAUGCAUGUUUUGAAUGUAUCAUUUUAUUUUAUUGUUCCGUUGCAACGCACGGGAAUUUCAGCUAGUAAUAUAAUAAAACUCGGGCCUCGGUAGUCCGGUUUGCCAUUUGUAAGUUAGACGUAUAUUACAGUCAUACGCUCAAAUGAAGUUCGGAUUGUGAGCAUGAUUGAUAGUUAGAUAGGCAGAACUAAUGAACCUCACUACAUCUAGUAAAAUGCACUCAGGGUCAUUGAACUUGCUUUCGAUUCUCAAUUUAAUCAGUGUAUUUUGUAAAUCGAGACUUACGGUCACUCAACUUGACGAAAUAUCCCACAUAUUUUCUAUCGUAUAAGUAUAUGCCAUUUCAACACAGAUUUGUGCAAUUUGCUCCCGAUGAAUAAUACCACGAGGGAUCGGACCGGGCGCGCUCACAGCGGGCCCCACCACGAGGGAUUCCUCAAGGGCCAAUUUUUUUUAAAAGCGAUGCGCUAGGAUAGGCGACGCACACGUACGUAUUAAAAUAUUGUGCCGAUGAAUGUACGUGGGACAUUUCGAUAAGUUCGGUGACGUAAGUCUCUAUUUCCAAAAAUACAAUGAAUCUAUUGAGAAUACGAACCAAGUUCAAUGAUUGUGGGUGUAUUUUACUCCACUACAUCUAUAAGAAAAGAAUUAACCAUCUCAUUAUACCUUGAAGUAUGGAAGUAUGUCGUGUUUUGAACACGAGCCAAUUCUUUAUUUCGAUGGGCUUUUUUGAAUGCCCAUCGGGCUGGGCCCGGUUGUGCCAGGCCCGGCACAAAUUUAAUCGGGCCGGGCCGAUUAAAAUGUUUUUUUUAAAUCUAAAUACACUACGUUUCUUACGACGCUAGGAAUAAAAAUAUGAUGGCCUCCUCCUCAUUCUUCCACUUGUUGACCACUAGACCAACCCUCUUGCAUGUUGGGGUUAAUUGUAUCUAUGCCACUCUCUAUUCCAUCUGUUGGAGAUAUGCCAUUACAAAAACUUGACAGUUCGGCCAGCCCAGGACGGUUAAGCCCGACGGGAGAUAUCUCCGAUUGGUGGAAUAGACAGUGGCAUAGAUCCAGUUAACGCUUGUUGUUAUGCCAGGCCAAAACCCAUUUUGAGCCUCCAUGACUGCCAAGCAAAAAAAAAGGCUGCCGGACUAGCCCGAUGCUUUUCUAGGGGCCCUUUUUUAAGACCCGUUAGGGUUAACCGUGCCGGGCUGGUCCAAUGCGUGCCUCGUGCUGCGCUUGGGCCGAGAGGUGGCCAUUUGGGGUCAGCCCAUCCGACACCUCUAAUGUCGAGAUUCACUGGCCGUGCCCGGGCCAGGCCCGAUUAACGCGUGUCGGGCUGGGCCAGCCCGUUGGCCAUCUAUAACACGGAGCGGGCCUUUUGGAGAUUAUUGUAACCGUAAAACUCGGAGCAUCCUCUCAGGAAAAAAAAAACUCGGGGCAGCCCAAAUUUACGACCAUUUUGCUACCGCCGCUCGUUUCAAUUCUGUCUCACGACUCUUCCUCCCUCGUCACAGUUUAGGCCUCCCUCGCCGGAGCCUCUGUUGCUUCCCUCCCUCGCCGGAGCCGCUCCCCCAGCUGCAACUGUUGCCACAUCCCUGGCCAGAGCGGCAGCCGCCACCAUGGAGGCACACGCGCCCGCCUGAUCUGCUGCCCCGAUCCGGCCGCCUCCUAACGAUGCACAAGCCACGAACUCGUCGGCUGCGUCGAGCUCCGCCCAUCCAGCUGCCAGCAGUUGGUCCGGCGGCCGCAUCCUCGAUCUCCCGUGCCAGCCGAUUCAACGAUUCGGGAGUCGGGACCUCCAAAUCGAGCACAUCUCCGAUGUCCGAUCCCACGGCCCGAUCUCCCUUUCCCAGCGAACAGGCUGAACAGAGCUUGCUGGACGAACUUGGGUUAACGAGCUUCCAGCCCAACAGGAAAGAAGAGCAGUGCGGAACGUCUAGAAUCGGGACUGAAAGUUGGAUCGAUGGAUUUUGAGAAGCUGCAGGACUUCCGAACACACGAUUGAUCGAAGUCACGUUGCUGUUUUAUUUCUUUGUGACACGAUGGAAUCGUUAAUGGGCUGUUACAAGGAGGACAUGAUACAGGGAGACGUUCUUCAACGAGAGGACCACCAUGCCGUCCAUUCGCUCAAAAAAAUAAAAAAAAUAACCAAGCCAUAUCCAUGAACCGAUCUCCUGUUGCGCUUGCAGCCUCCCAAGUUUUGUUGUCCCUUUGCCUGCCGUGCAGGGUCGAGGGAGAGUACUGUGUUCCCUUUGCCACCUUAGAUUCCUAAAGUUCGGAAUCUAAGAUUUUCCCUUCGCUAAUUUUCAGUGAUGCAGUUUAGCUGGUACGUCAGUGUGCACUGUGCAGUAUAGGUGAUCUAAAUUCAAGGAAUUUCCAGGGAUGCAAUUUAGGCUAAGUUUAUGUAGAAUUUGGAGUUUUUCAGAAGUUCACAUAACAAGAGAAUUAGCAAAUGUAAUUACUUAACUCUUUAUAAUUUCUUGUAGAAGAAAACAGACACACAAUUACAUAGCAUAAUAAAUAAACACCCACACACCUUCCUGACUCUCUCUUAUACGACCAUUAUUCUGGAAAACCGAUGAAUCCAAUCGGGCCUGUAACUGAUAUAUAGCUUGAUCAGGACAAUGCAUGCAUGACUAAUGCUGAGCCGGAGGGUGGUAGAUGGGCGUGGGGUGUCCUCCUCCUCCUCCUCCUCCUCCGUAGGUGGGCGUGGGUGGGACGGGGUGGUAGUCCGGCUUGGGCUCAGGUUUGGGCUCCGGUUUCGGUGGGACAGGCUUCUUGUGGAAGUGGUCGAUGAUGUGCUUCUUGAUGGGCUCGCACAACGUCG